GAUGAACGCUGGCGGCGUGCUUAACACAUGCAAGUCGAACGAAGCACUUUUUUUGAUUUCCUUCGGGACUGAUUAUUUUGUGACUGAGUGGCGGACGGGUGAGUAACGCGUGGGUAACCUGCCUUGUACAGGGGGAUAACAGUUGGAAACGGCUGCUAAUACCGCAUAAGCGCACAGCAUCGCAUGAUGCAGUGUGAAAAACUCCGGUGGAAUAAGAUGGACCCGCGUUGGAUUAGCUAGUUGGUGAGGUAACGGCCCACCAAGGCGACGAUCCAUAGCCGACCUGAGAGGGUGACCGGCCACAUUGGGACGGAGACACGGCCCAAACUCCUACGGGAGGCAGCAGUGGGGAAUAUUGCACAAUGGGCGAAAGCCUGAUGCAGCGACGCCGCGUGAGCGAAGAAGUAUUUCGGUAUGUAAAGCUCUAUCAGCAGGGAAGAUAAUGACGGUACCUGACGAAGAAGCACCGGCUAAAUACGUG
rnacentral:rRNA from 1 species